ensembl:lncRNA
UCAUAUAAAAAUCAGUAUUUAUGUAAAAAAAUAAUGCACUGCAUAUUGUAAAAUCAGUCAAUAACAGUAUUCACCUUCACACAGAUUUCUAGAGUUUCAGACUUCAAAAGGUGACACAGCAAGGAAAAGAGACUGUAAUUACAUGUGAGGCAGACUGCUUCCUAGGUUCCAUCCCAGAAAUUUACACCCUGAGCCAGCAGGGAGAUUAGGAGCAGAAUAUAAACUCUGCUUACAAUGGAGUGUGUUUUGUACUGCUAAAGCAUUUGUCCAGCCCACACGGAUCUGGGAGUCAGAGCCAGCCCACCUUUGGCAAGGAAAGAGCCACAAAAAUUAAGCUUCUAAAAUGGGGUUGGGAUGAAGGUGCAAGUCAGUGAGUGGAUCUUCCAAGUUCAACACACGGGAACUUUUCUGGAAUCCAAAAACUCACUUUAUGUAGACUUCAUCUCAGUUAGACCAGUUAUCCAAGUUCAAAUAUACUUUACAAAUACAUUUCAUACCAUGCAAGUUUAAAUAAUAUUUUACUGUAAAACUAGAACUCAGCCUUUUUUUUCAUGUUUUUCUCGGGGGGGGGGGGGGGAGAAGUUUGUACUAGAUAAAACAUUUUCUUUUUCGACUAAGAAAAUUUAAGAAACUAAAGAAAGCCUAAUCCCUUGCCUGUUGUAAAUCACUAUAAUGCUACUGACAGUAAUGCAUUCACUUAGUUGAGGGUCUGCCCCAAAACUAUUUUAAAGCCAUGUUAUUAAAAAAUAUGGUAACAGGAUAUAUUCUAAAAAACCCAUCUAAUACACAGUCUGGUGAAGCAUCAGAAUUCUUAUUACAGUUCUUCACUUUUCAGUACUAAAUACUCCAUAAUAAUCAUCACGUAAUAAUUCUUAGUAAGGAAAUACAACAGCUUUUCACUGGUGGUUUUUUUCCUGCUUCUAAAAUGCCCUAUAAAGCUGCAAAACCAUGUAAUUUUUAAGAAGUAUUGUAAGACAGACAAGUUCAAACCAAAUUUUUUGCUUAAAAAAAAAAAAAAA